GACGAACGCUGGCGGCGUGCUUAACACAUGCAAGUCGAGCGAACAAAGCUCCUUCGGGAGUGGAGUUAGCGGCGGACGGGUGAGUAACACGUGGGUAACCUGCCUUAUAGAGGGGGAUAGCCUUCCGAAAGGAAGAUUAAUACCGCAUAAGAAGUAGAAGUCGCAUGGCUUCAGCUUUAAAGGAGCAAUCCGCUAUAAGAUGGACCCGCGGCGCAUUAGCUAGUUGGCGAGGUAACGGCUCACCAAGGCGACGAUGCGUAGCCGACCUGAGAGGGUGAUCGGCCACAUUGGAACUGAGACACGGUCCAGACUCCUACGGGAGGCAGCAGUGGGGAAUAUUGCACAAUGGGCGAAAGCCUGAUGCAGCAACGCCGCGUGGGUGAUGAAGGUUUCGGAUCGUAAAGCCCUGUCUUUGGGACGAUAAUGACGGUACCAAAGGAGGAAGCCACGGCUAACUACGUG
rnacentral:rRNA from 1 species